rnacentral:rRNA from 1 species
CGUAUUAUAUACAUCUAUUUCCUUUUAACUUAAUUCUUGAGUUAGCCUCGUCUCUGGUACUCAACACCUGGUAUAUUACAACAGACGAAGUGAAAGUCAAAGACAACCCUUUUAAACGUCUUGGCCUAUUACAGAGUUGUGACUGAUCUUCUUUCCUUCGGUGUAUAUCGACCCUCCUCCACAACAGCGGUCGGAGUGCAACUACACGCCAUGAACGCGGAGAGACGAAGUACACCUGUGUCCGUGGUUUGAUCUUGUAAAGGUACAACAAUAAACCACAAAUCUUUCACAAAUAGACAUUCGAUGUAAUUAUGUGAUAUCAUCAGGGUGUUGCAAAACGUAUACUUAUCAACAUCUUCUUUGUACUAUUGUCCAAAGAAAACAACGAUUGCACAUCUCAAUGACAUGUUUACGUAAAAAACGAUGUCUAAAUGCCCAGUAAUAAAUCGAUAAAGCCAAGGAGGAAUACUUAUCUAAAAAGAUACAUAUACCGCCUUCUAUUAUAUCUGGAGAUAAACAUUUGUAGGUAUAUCAAA